rnacentral:rRNA from 1 species
UACAGAGGUCCCAAGCGUUGUUCGGAUUCACUGGGCGUAAAGGGUGCGUAGGUGGUCAGGUAAGUCGGAUGUGAAAUCUCGGAGCUUAACUCCGAAACUGCCAUUGGAAACUACCUGGCUCGAGGGAAUGGAGGGGGGACUGGAAUUCUCGGUGUAGCAGUGGAAAUGCGUAGAUAUCGGGAGGAACACCAGUGGCGAAGGCGACUACCUGGCCUGUUCUUGACGCUGAGGCGCGAAA